UGGUGGAGCGAUUUGUCUGGUUAAUUCCGAUAACGAACGAGACUCUGGCCAUUAAAUAGUUCGCCGAUUCCGAUCUGUCGGCGUUAACUUCUUAGAGGGACAAGUGGCUUUUAGCCACGCGAGAUUGAGCAAUAACA
rnacentral:rRNA from 1 species